GACGCCUACGGGACGCAGCAGUGGGGAAUAUUGCACAAUGGGCGCAAGCCUGAUGCAGCCAUGCCGCGUGUAUGAAGAAGGCCUUCGGGUUGUAAAGUACUUUCAGCGGGGAGGAAGGGAGUAAAGUUAAUACCUUUGCUCAUUGACGUUACCCGCAGAAGAAGCACCGGCUAACUCCGUGCCAGCAGCCGCGGUAAUACGGAGGGUGCAAGCGUUAAUCGGAAUUACUGGGCGUAAAGCGCACGCAGGCGGUUUGUUAAGUCUGAUGUGAAAGCCCACGGCUCAACCGUGGAACUGCAUCGGAA
rnacentral:rRNA from 1 species